UUGGCGUCGGGGUCGAUCUCGCGGGUCACCACCAGGUACUCCCGCAGCGCGAUGGCGUGCAGGUGCUC
rnacentral:sRNA from 1 species